CCGCAGUGGAGGCUGCCCCAGGUCUACAGGUGCCGCCUUCGCCCGGCCUCGCGUAGCCCACAGCAGGGGCCGCCCGCCCGCCGAAGUUGAAGGCGCACCUCCCCUUCCCGGGAAGGACGACGGUUCCCCAAAAGAGGCGGAGGGUAGUCUCUCAUCUGAACCAGGCGCUUUAAUGCCUGCCUGAAGCCACCGCGGCCAGCGUGGAGACCACGCAGCGGGCGGGCGGCUGCAAGCCCUGGGCUCCGAGCGCCUCUCCUGUGCGGGUCCCGCCCCCCUCCCCGCAUUCCUCUCGUUCUGCUCCCGAGCCCAGGCCACGCUGAAGGAAGUACUUGGGCAGUCUCUUUCCUGGAGAACGGGCCCGCCGGUUCCGGAAGCCUCUCCUACCCCCAGGCUGGUCACCUCGGACUACCGACCCGGGACAAGAAGUCCAAGCAGACUGCGGCGGAGGCUGGAAUGCUACAACUACAUUCUCCAAGACUACCUUGUAGCUAGUUUCUGCAUGUGACCUAGCUAUCACCAAGAAGACAUAUUGCUUGAGACUAGGAGGCAGAGAUGCUAAAUGUGAAUGAUAGCUCUGCAGAGAGAGAGAUCAGAUCUUGCAAGUGCAGAGAACAAGACACCUGGAUUUCCUGGGACAGCUGCUCUGGGGAUUUUGGAUUCCAAAGGCCAGUUCUCUUGUCUUUCCAGAAAUUCUUACAAGGUACCUACUACUGUUUAAUGAAUUAUUCUCUGCUUCAACUAGAUAACAUGGAUUCGGCUGUCUACAGUCAAAAAUCCUGACAAAUACAGGAUGAUACUGCACCCCCAACCAUAGGAGUGGUCCCUACAAAUGAAGCACAUUGGAAUACAGUAGCACCCUGACUUCCAUAUGAGUAAUCUCAAGGUUUCCCUUUGAUUCCAAUUUCACCUGUAGGCUCCAAUGUAACAGUGGAAAAGCAGAGGUCAUGAUGGAGAGAAUAGGAGUGAGCCCAUAAAACCUGGUUUGGCUGGGUGCGGUGGCUCACACCUGUAAUCCCAGCACUUUGUGAGGCCGAGGCAGGCAGACCACGAGGUCAGGAGAUCAAGACCAUCCUGGCUAACAUGGUGAAACCCUGUCUCUAUUAAAAAUACAAAAAAAUCAGCCGGGCAUGGUGGCAAGUCCCUGUAAUCCCAGCUACCUGGGAAGCUGUGGCAGGACAAUCACUUGAACCCAGGAGGUGGAGGUUGCAGUGAGCUGAGAUCAUGCCACUGCACUCCAGCCUGGCAACAGAACAAGACUCCAUCGCAAAAACAAACAAACAAACAAAAAACCUGGUUCAAUGAUCAAAUAUUGAGUCAGGGAUAGGCUAAGCCAGCAACAAAAUCAACCCACAGGGACUUCAGGCCUCAGCAGAAUGAACAAGGGAAUCUACAUUUGGAGAUCAAGAUCAAGUUGGUUUGAGAAGAAAAGCCAGGACACCAGGUCUAAAUUGAGUUCCAUGAACAGUAUUUGGCCAAGUCAGAAACCCUUUGUGAAGACCCCUAGCCCCAACCACCCACAGGUGUACAUGUUCUCAUAUAUAUAGGACAUGAGGACAUGUCUUAACAUUUAAUUGGUGACCUUUGCCCCUGUGGUAUGAGAAAAUGGUAUCUCCUACUCAAAUAUCAGAUAUUUUGGUUUAAAAUGUAAAAUGAGUCAGAGUUAAUUUGUCUCAGUCAGCCAACAUGUCAUAAAAAUAUUUUAAUUCCAAGUAUUGCCAUAGUUUAUCUUAUACGUAAGAUAAAGUAGAGCCAAUAGAAAGAUGCAAAAGCAAACCAAAGUUAGAUUAUUGCUUCUGAUGGGACAAACCCUGUCCAGGAGAAUUGUGGGGCCUUUCUUUGAUUGACAGGUAGAUUUGGGAGUUUUUAGAGGGGACCAAGCCUUUUGGGGCAAGGGAAGAUGCAGUUGCAAAAUACCACUUGCUGGUUCUUUGGAAAAAAAAAAUAACAAAAUCUAUAGACCACUAGCUAGAUUAACCAAGAAAAGAGGAAAGAAGAUCCAACUAAGUUAAAUUAGAAAUGAAACUGGAAACAUUACAACCAACACCAUAGAAAUACAAAAGAUCAUUUAAGACUACUAUGACAACUUUAUGCACACAAACUAGAAAACGUAGAGGAAAUUGAUAAAUUCCUAGGGACAUACAACCCUCCUAGAUUAAAUCAGGAAGAAUUAGAAACCUUGAACAGACCAACAACAAGCAGUGAGAUUGAAUUAGUAAUUUUAAAAUUGCCAACAAAAGAAAGCCCAGGACCAGAUGGAAUCACAGCUGAAUUGUACUGGACUUUCAAAGAAGAAUUGGUACCAAUCCUACUGAAACUAUUCCAAAGGAUUGAGAGAGAGGAAAUCCUCCUUAAAUCAUUCAAUAAAGCUAGUAUCACCCUGAUACCAAAGUCAGGAAAGGACACAACAAAAAAGGAAAACUACAGACCAAUUUUCCUGAUGAACACAGAUGCAAAAAUCCUCAUCAAAAUACUAGCUAACUGAAUCCAACAGCACAUCAAAGAGAAUUCAUCAUGAUCGAGUUUCAUCACAGGGAUGCAAGGAUAGUUUAAUAUAUGCAAGUCAAUAAAUGUGAUCUAUCACAUAAACAGAAUUAAAAACAAAAAACCAUAUGAUCACCUCAAUAGAUGCAGAAAACGCAUUUGAAAAAAAAAAUCAGCAUCCCUUUAGAUAAAAACUCUCAACAAACUAAGCAUAGAAGGGGCCUACCUCAAAAUAGUAGAAGCCACAUAUGAUAAACCCACAGCCAACGUCAUACUGAAUGGGAAAAAGUCGAAAGUAUUCCCCCUGAGAACAGGAACAAGACAAGAAUACCCACUUUCACCCCUCCUAUUCAACAUAGUUCUGGAAGUCCUAGCCAGAGUAAUUAGGCAAGAGAAAGAAAUAAAGGGCAUCCAAAUUGGAAAAGAGGAAGUCAAACUACCACUGUUUGCAGAUGAUAUGAUUAUAUAACUAUAAAAUCCUAAAGACUCCUCAAAAAAGACUCUUAGAUUUGAUAAAUGAGUUUGAUAAAGUCUCAGGUUACAAAAUUGAUGUGUACAAAUCAGCAGCACUGCUAUUCACCAACGACCAAGCUGAGAAUCAAAAUAAAAACUAAAUCCCUUUUACAACAGCUGCAAUAAAAUAAAAUAAAAUACUUAGGAAUAUACUUAACCAAAGAGGUGAAAUAUCUCUACAGGGAGAAUUAUAAAACAUCACUGAAAGAAAUCAUAGAUGACACAAACAAAUGGAAACGCAUCCCAUGUUCAUGGAUUGAAAGAUUCAAUGUUGUGAAAAUGACCACACUACCCAAAGCAGUCUACAUAUUCAAUGAAAUUACCAUCAAAAUAUCAACAUUUUCAUGGAAUUAGAAAAAACAACCCUAAAAUUCAUAUGGAACCAAAAAAGAGCCCAUAUAGCCAAAGCAAUCCUAAGCAAAAAGAGCAAAUCUGGAGGCAUCAUGUUGCUGGACUUCAAAUUCUACUACAAGGCUGUAGUUACCGAAGUUAUACCAGCAUGGUACUGGUAUUAAAGUAGUCAUGUAGACCAAUGGAACAGAGUGGAGAACCCAGAAAUAAAACCAAAUAUGUACAGCCAACUGAUCUUCCACAAAGCAUACAAAAAUACACAUUAGGGAAUGGACACCCUGUUUAAUAAAUAGUGCUGGGAAAACUGGCAAGUCACAUAUAGAAGAAUGAAACUGAAUCCGUAUCUCUUGCCUUACACAAAAAUCAACUCAAGAUGGAUCAAAGACUGAAAUAAGAGCUGAAACUAUAAAAACCCUAGAAGACAACAUUGGAAAAAAUUUGUAGACAUUGGCCUAAGCAAAGAACUCAUGACUAAGACCCCAAAAACAAAUGCAACAAACACAAAAAUAAAUAAAUGGGACCUAAUUAAACUAAAAAACUUCUGCACAGCAAAAGAAAUAAUCACCAGAAUAAACAGACAACCCACAGAAUGGGAGAAAAUAUUUGCAAGCUAUGUGUCUGACUAAUAUCCAGAACCUACAAGAAACUCAAACAAAUCAGGAUGAAAAAAAAAUCUCAUUAAAAAGUGGACAAAGGACAUAGACAUUUCUCAAAAUAAGAUAUACAAAUGGCCAAAAAACAUGAAAAAAUGCUCCAUGUCACUAAGCAUCAGGGAAAUGCAAAUUAAAACCAUAAUGAGGUACCACCUUACUCCUGUAAGAAUGGCUAUUAUUAGGCCAGGUGUGGUGGCUCAUGCCUGUAAUCCCAGCACUUUGGGAGGCCGAGGUGGGUGGAUCACUGAAGGUCAGGAAUUCGAGACUAGCCUGGCCAACAUGGGGAAACCCUGUCUCUACUAAAAAUACAAAAGUUAGCCAGGCGUGGUGGCAGAUGCCUGAAAUCCCAGCUACUUGGAAGGCUGAGACAGGAGAAUCACUUGAACCUGGAAGCAGAGGUUGCAGUGAUCCAAGAUUCUGCCAUUGCGCUCCAGCCUGGGUGACAGAGUGAGACUCUGUCUCAAAAAAAAAAAACCAAAAAAAAACAAACAAAAAAACAAAAAAAGAAUUGACUAUUAUUAAAAAGUCAGAAAACAAUAGAUGUUGGUGUGGAUGUGGGGAAAGGGGAACACUUUACACUGCUAGUGGGAAUGUAAAUUAGUGCAACCUCUAUGGAAAACAGUAUGGAGAUUCCUUAAAGAGUGAAAAGUAGAUCUACCAUUCAAUCCAGGAUUCCCAUGGCUGGGUCUCUAUCAAAGGGAAAUAUGUCAUUAUAUGAGAAAGACACUUGCACACAUAUGUUUAUAGCAGCACAAUUCACAAUUGUAAAGAUGUGAAACCAACCUAAGUGCCCAUCAACAAAUGAGUGGAUUACGAAAAUGUGGUAUAUAUGCACCAUGGAAUACUACUCAGCCAUUAAAAGGAACAAAAUAAUGUAUUUUGCAGCAACUUGGAUGGAGCUGGAGGCCAUUAGUCUAAGUGAAGUAACACAGGAGUGGAAAAGCAAAAACCAUAUGCUCUCAAUUAUAAGUGAGAGCUAAGCUAUGAGCAUGCAAAUGCAUACAGAGUGAUAUAAUGGACUUUAAAGACUCAGAAGAGGGAGGGUGGGAUGGGAGAUAGGGAUACAAAAACUGCACAUUAGGUACAAUGUACACUAAUCGGGUGACAGGUGCACUAAAAUCUCAGAAUUCACCGCUAUAUAAUUCAUGUAACAAAAUCCACUUGUACCACAAAAGCUAUUGAAAUAAAAAGAAACACAGCUUGUUGAUUUCAGUGAUCCAUUGAGCCCCAGCUCAAUCCCCAUGGCAUCCACCAUGGCACAAGUCCAGGCAGUUCACCAUUGGAGAAGGGUCUCUUCAUGUCAUGACUGUUAUUAGCUGCAUAUCCCUAAAGGCAGAAUUCCCAAACUUGGAGCAUUUUAUUUCCUGGAGUUUCCUCUUUUUCCUCUUUGUCCAUAACAUGAAUCAAUAAUAAGCUUCUUAAGACUGCUCUUGUAUUAGAUAAUCAUUUUUAUUCUACAAAAUUGUUGGAACUUACAUCAUCCACAAAUUAAAAUUCUUUUUCUU
rnacentral:lncRNA from 1 species